rnacentral:rRNA from 1 species
UACAGAGACUGCAAGCGUUAUUCGGAUUCACUGGGCGUAAAGGGUGCGCAGGCGGCCAAGUGUGUGAGGCGUGAAAGCCCGGGGCUUAACCCCGGAAUUGCACCUCAAACUACAUGGCUAGAGCAUUGGAGAGGGUAGCGGAAUUCACGGUGUAGCAGUGAAAUGCGUAGAUAUCGUGAGGAACACCAGAGGCGAAGGCGGCUACCUGGACAAUUGCUGACGCUCAGGCACGAAAGCGUGGGUAGCAAACAGG